rnacentral:rRNA from 1 species
AUGGUCGCUAGUCCUCAACUCAAAAGACGUCCAGUCUUGCAUGUGGCGGACCGAGAGGCUCAACCAGCCCGGUGGGAGGCGCCCCCGGCAGGCUGGGCAGCGAUGAAUAUUGAUGGGUCAUUUUCAGUUCAAGAUGGUACAGGUGGAGCGGGCAUGAUACUCAGGGAUGAAUCAGGUGCAAUCAUCUAUUCAUCCUGCCGUGAGCUUAGACAUUGUGCAUCUGCACUUGAGUCUGAAAUUGCUGCAUGUAUGGAAGGAAUUUCACUCGCUAUCCAGUGGACGGCCAUGCCGCUUGUUAUCCAAACGGAUUGUUUGGAUGUUGCGAAAUUUAUUACGGGUACUGAUGAUGACAGAUCAGCUCAUACAAUGAUGGUGCAAGAAAUUAGAUCACACCUUCAGGAGGGUCAUAAAAAACGGCAGCAGGAAAAGGUGAACAUUGAUUGGGCAUGGGAAGUUUCCAGGCUCGGCCUCAUAUUUGACAAACAAGACACGUACUAG